rnacentral:rRNA from 1 species
UAGGUACAUGAGUGCUUGCACUUGAUGACGAGUGGCGGACGGGUGAGUAAGGUAUGGGGAUCUGCCGAAUGGAGAGGGACAACAGUUGGAAACGACUGCUAAUACCUCAUAAAGUUGAGAGACCAAAGCGUGGGACCUUCGGGCCACGUGCCAUUUGAUGAACCCAUAUGGGAUUAGCUAGUUGGUGGGGUAAAGGCUCACCAAGGCGACGAUCUCUAGCUGGUCUGAGAGGAUGACCAGCCACACUGGAACUGAGACACGGUCCAGACUCCUACGGGAGGCAGCAGUGGGGAAUAUUGCACAAUGGGGGAAACCCUGAUGCAGCCAUGCCGCGUGUAUGAAGAAGGCCUUCGGGUUGUAAAGUACUUUCGGUAAUGAGGAAGGUGUUGUAUCUAAUAGGUGCAGCAAUUGACGUUAAUUACAGAAGAAGCACCGGCUAACUCCGUGCCAGCAGCCGCGGUAAUACGGAGGGUGCGAGCGUUAAUCGGAAUGACUGGGCGUAAAGGGCAUGUAGGCGGAUGAUUAAGUUAGGUGUGAAAGCCCUGGGCUCAACCUAGGAAUUGCACUUAAAACUGGUUAUCUGGAGUAUUGUAGAGGAAG